rnacentral:rRNA from 1 species
CCUACGGGUGGCAGCAGUGGGGGAUAGUGCACAAUGGGGGGAACCCUGAUGCAGCGACGCCGCGUGGGUGAAGAAGGGCCUCGGCGCGUAAAGCCCUGUCAGCAGGGAAGAAAAGGACGGUACCUGAAGAAGAAGCCCCGGCUAACGACGUGCCAGCAGCCGCGGUAAGACGUAGGGGGCAAGCGUUCGCCGGAUUUACUGGGUGUCAAGGGGGCGCAGACGGCGAUGCAAGCCAGGAGUGAAAGCCCGGGGCCCAACCCCGUGACUGCUCUUGGAACUGCGUGGCUGGAGUGCAGGAGGGGCCGGCGCACUUCCUGGUGUAGCGGUGAACUGCGUAGCUAUCCGGAGGAACCCCGGUGGCGCCGGCGGCCUGCUUGACUGCACCUGCCGUUGCGGCCCG